rnacentral:rRNA from 1 species
CCCUUAGAUGUUCUGGGCUGCACGCGCGCUACACUGAUGCACUCAACGAGUUUACGACCUUGCCCGAUAGGGUUGGGUAAUCUUUUUAAAAUGCAUCGUGAUGGGGAUAGAUUAUUGCAAUUAUUAAUCUUCAACGAGGAAUUCCUAGUAAGCGCGAGUCAUCAGCUCGUGCUGAUUACGUCCCUGCCCUUUGUACACACCGCCCGUCGCUCCUACCGAUUGAGUGCUCAGGUGAAUAAUUCGGACUGCAGCAAUGUUUGGAUCCCGAACGUUGCAGCGUAAAGUUUAGUGAACCUUAUCACUUAGAGGAAGGAGAAGUCGUAACA